UACUGAAAUAACAUAUUCAUACAUCCUGACU
rnacentral:piRNA from 1 species